GCCAUUAAACUCCAGAGGAAGAUUUUCACCCACGCUAACAGGUGCUACCCAACAUGAACGAAAAUGCCCGUGCGUUGUGUGAAAUGGUGGAAAAAGUCCUAUUUCACGGAGUKACCUUUUCAGUAUCGUUUUGAUAUUAAGCAAUGUUCCGGCGGAAAACAACAGAUGACACCGCRGCGGUCCAACAAGACCGAACUCACGACCAGCAAGGCAGAGUGUGAUAAGUAGUAAAGAUCUACAACAUGGGACGGAGGACAGAUAUGAGGACGAAGUCAUGAAGCCGACACUCCAGAGAAUGGGAGUCACAUUUGUGUCAAUCAGAC